rnacentral:rRNA from 1 species
GACAGCAGCAGCCGCGGUAAUACGAAGGGUGCAAGCGUUAAUCGGAAUUACUGGGCGUAAAGCGCGCGUAGGUGGUUUGGUAAGAUGGAUGUGAAAUCCCCGGGCUCAACCUGGGAACUGCAUCCAUAACUGCCUGACUAGAGUACGGUAGAGGGUGGUGGAAUUUCCUGUGUAGCGGUGAAAUGCGUAGAUAUAGGAAGGAACACCAGUGGCGAAGGCGACCACCUGGACUGAUACUGACACUGAGGUGCGAAAGCGUGGGGAGCAAACAGGAUUAGAUACCCCCGUAGUCCCUGUCUCUUAUAC